UAGCAAUACUUGGUGGCGACCGGCGCAAGGGUGCGUAACGCGUGAGCAACAUGCCCGUAUCAGGGGGAUAAUCCAUGGAAACGUGGUCUAAUACCCCAUAGUAAAUUUUUGGGGCAUCUCAAAGAUUUUAAAGCUUUGGUGGAUACGGAUUGGCUCGCGUGACAUUAGCUAGAUGGUAAGGUAACGGCUUACCAUGGCUACGAUGUCUAGGGGUUCUGAGAGGAAGGUCCCCCACACUGGAACUGAGACACGGUCCAGACUCCUACGGGAGGCAGCAGUGAGGAAUAUUGGACAAUGGAUGGAAAUCUGAUCCAGCCAUGCCGCGUGCAGGAAGACGGCCCUAUGGGUUGUAAACUGCUUUUGUAUGGGAGCAAUAAGGGCUACGUGUAGUCCGAUGAGAGUACCAUACGAAUAAGCACCGGCUAACUCCGUGCCAGCAGCCGCGGUAAUACGGAGGGUGCAAGCGUUAUCCGGAUUUAUUGGGUUUAAAGGGUGCGUAGGCGGUUUGAUAAGUCAGCGGUGAAAUAUUUCAGCUUAACUGGAAGGGUGCCGUUGAUACUGUCGAGCUUGAAUUUAGUUGCUGUGGGUGGAAUGUGUGGUGUAGCGGUGAAAUGCAUAGAUAUCACACAGAAUAUCGAUUGCGAAGGCAGCUCACAAAGCUAAUAUUGACGCUGAUGCACGAAAGUGUGGGGAUCAAACAGGAUUAGAUACCCUGGUAGUCCACACUGUAAACGAUGAUAACUCGCUGUCGGCGAUACACCGUCGGUGGCCAAGC
rnacentral:rRNA from 1 species